AUUUCUUCAAGGAUUAAUACUUCAACCAUGAUCACGAAGGUGGUUUUUCUAGGUUGAACCUUGUCUAUUGCAUUCUGGAUGUGCUGACCCCUGUGAUUUCUUCAAAUGCAGGACACUUGGAAGUGGGGGACUGCGUUUGUGCUUUCCCCUG
ensembl:snRNA U1 U1 spliceosomal RNA